rnacentral:rRNA from 1 species
CCCUGUCAGGAUGAACGCUGGCGGCGUGCUUAACACAUGCAAGUCGAACGGUGAACACGGAGCUUGCUCUGUGGGAUCAGUGGCUAACGGGUGAGUAACACGUGAGCAACCUGCCCCUGACUCUGGGAUAAGCGCUGGAAACGGCGUCUAAUACUGGAUACGAGUAGCGGCCGCAUGGUCAGUUACUGGAAAGAUUUUUUGGUUGGGGAUGGGCUCGCGGCCUAUCAGCUUGUUGGUGAGGUAAUGGCUCACCAAGGCGUCGACGGGUAGCCGGCAUGAGAGGGUGACCGGCCACACUGGUACUGAGACACGGCCCAGACUCGUAUGGGAGGCAGCAGUGGGGAAUAUUGCACAAUGGGCGGAAGCGUGAUGCAGCAACGCCGCGUGAGGGAUGACGGCCUUCGGGUUGUAAACCUCUUUUAGCAGGGAAGAAGCGAAAGUGACGGUACCUGCAGAAAAAGCGCCGGCUAACUACGUGCCAGCAGCCGCGGUAAUACGUAGGGCGCAAGCGUUAUCCGGAAUUAUUGGGCGUAAAGAGCUCGUAGGCGGUUUGUCGCGUCUGCUGUGAAAUCCCGAGGCUCAACCUCGGGCCUGCAGUGGGUACGGGCAGACUAGAGUGCGGUAGGGGAGAUUGGAAUUCCCUGGUGUAGCCGGUGGAAUGCGCAGAUAUCCANGGAGGAACCACCCGAUGGCGAAGGGCAGAUUCUUCUGGGCCCGUAACUGACGCUAGGA